UACAGAGGUCCCGAGCGUUGUUCGGAUUCACUGGGCGUAAAGGGCGCGUAGGUGGCUUGGUAAGUUUGAUGUGAAAUCUCCGGGCUUAACCCGGAAAAUGCAUUGAAUACUAUUUGAGCUUGAGGAUUGGAGGGGGGACUGGAAUUCUUGGUGUAGCAGUGAAAUGCGUAGAUAUCAAGAGGAACACCAGUGGCGAAGGCGAGUCCCUGGACAACACCUGACACUGAGGCACGAAGGCCAGGGGAGCAAACGGG
rnacentral:rRNA from 1 species